rnacentral:rRNA from 1 species
CCUACGGGUGGCUGCAGUGGGGAAUCUUGCACAAUGGAGGGAACUCUGAUGCAGCGACGUCGCGUGAACGAUGAAGGCUUUCGAGUCGUAAAGUUCUGUCCUAUGGGACGAUAAUGACGGUACCAUAGGAGGAAGCCCCGGCUAACUACGUGCCAGCAGCCGCGGUAAUACGUAGGGGGCGAACGUUGUCCGGAUUUAUUGGGCGUAAAGGGUACGCAGGCGGCCAUGUAAGUCAGAUGUGAAAUCCUAGGGCUUAACCCUAGUUAGCAUUUGAAACUGUGUGGCUUGAGUUAAGGAGAGGAAAGUGGAAUUCCUAGUGUAGCGGUGAAAUGCGUAGAUAUUAGGAGGAAUACCAGUGGCGAAGGCGACUUUCUGGACUUAUACUGACGCUGAGGUACGAAAGCGUGGGGAGCAAACAGGAUUAGAUACCCCGGUAGUC